GAUGAACGCUGGCGGCGUGCCUAAUACAUGCAAGUCGAGCGAACAGACGAGGAGCUUGCUCCUCUGACGUUAGCGGCGGACGGGUGAGUAACACGUGGAUAACCUACCUAUAAGACUGGGAUAACUUCGGGAAACCGGAGCUAAUACCGGAUAAUAUAUUGAACCGCAUGGUUCAAUAGUGAAAGACGGUUUUGCUGUCACUUAUAGAUGGAUCCGCGCCGCAUUAGCUAGUUGGUAAGGUAACGGCUUACCAAGGCAACGAUGCGUAGCCGACCUGAGAGGGUGAUCGGCCACACUGGAACUGAGACACGGUCCAGACUCCUACGGGAGGCAGCAGCAGGGAAUCUUCCGCAAUGGGCGAAAGCCUGACGGAGCAACGCCGCGUGAGUGAUGAAGGUCUUCGGAUCGUAAAACUCUGUUAUUAGGGAAGAACAAAUGUGUAAGUAACUAUGCACGUCCUGACGGUACCUAAUCAGAAAGCCACGGCUAACUACGUG
rnacentral:rRNA from 1 species